rnacentral:rRNA from 1 species
AUGGCGGCCAUACUUGAAUCUUUGCUUGGAUCAUGUGCCAGUAAAUUGCAAAAUAUCAUUACAGAUGAGGCCAUACUAAUCCUUGGGGUGGAAGAAGAUCUCAGAGAAGUCCUGCAGCGAGUAGAACUAAUACAAUGUUGCAGAUAUGAUGCUGAGAAAAGGAGGACAAAAGAGCUAGCAGUAAACAAUUGGCUCGGCCAACUGAGAGAUGUUAUAUAUGAUGUUGAUGAAAUCCUGGACGUGGCUAGGUGUAAAGGAAGCAAGCUCCUGCCUGAUGAUCCUUCAUCAUCAUCAAGCAAUGCGGCUGCAUGUAAAGGCCUCUCAGUUUCCUCUUGCUUUUGUAACAUCUGGUCACGCCGUGAUGUUGCUGUUUGGAUUAGAAGCCUCAAUAAAAAAAAUAGAAUACAUUUUAAAGGACACGGUAAUCUUAACACUCAACACUGGUAUGCAGCCUACCAAAAAUGGUCCAACAUCCAAACUGAUAAGAAGCUGCAACCUUGUUGA